AUUGAACGCUGGCGGCAUGCCUUACACAUGCAAGUCGAACGGCAGCACGGGGCAACCUGGUGGCGAGUGGCGAACGGGUGAGCAAUGCAUCGGAACGUACCUUUCAGUGGGGGAUAACGUAGCGAAAGUUACGCUAAUACCGCAUAUUCUGUGAGCAGGAAAGCAGGGGAUCGCAAGACCUUGCGCUGAUUGAGCGGCCGAUGUCAGAUUAGCUAGUUGGUGAGGUAAAGGCUCACCAAGGCGACGAUCUGUAGCGGGUCUGAGAGGAUGAUCCGCCACACUGGAACUGAGACACGGUCCAGACUCCUACGGGAGGCAGCGGUGGGGAAUUUUGGUCAAUGGGGGCAACCCUGAUCCAGCCAUGCCGCGUGAGUGAAGAAGGCCUUCGGGUUGUAAAGCUCUUUCGGCCGGGAAGAAAUCGCACGGGCUAAUACCCUGUGUGGAUGACGGUACCGGAAUAAGAAGCACCGGCUAACUACGUGCCAGCCGCCGCUGUAAAAC
rnacentral:rRNA from 1 species